rnacentral:rRNA from 1 species
GAUGAACGCUGGCGGCGUGCCUAAUACAUGCAAGUCGAGCGAACGGACGAGAAGCUUGCUUUUCUGAUGUUAGCGGCGGACGGGUGAGUAACACGUGGAUAACCUACCUAUAAGACUGGGAUAACUUCGGGAAACCGGAGCUAAUACCGGAUAAUAUUUUGAACCGCAUGGUUCAAAAGUGAAAGACGGUCUUGCUGUCACUUAUAGAUGGAUCCGCGCUGCAUUAGCUAGUUGGUAAGGUAACGGCUUACCAAGGCAACGAUGCAUAGCCGACCUGAGAGGGUGAUCGGCCACACUGGAACUGAGACACGGUCCAGACUCCUACGGGAGGCAGCAGUAGGGAAUCUUGCGCAAUGGGCGAAAGCCUGACGGAGCAACGCCGCGUGAGUGAUGAAGGUCUUCGGAUCGUAAAACUCUUUUAUUAGGGAAGAACAUAUGUGUAAGUAACUGUGCACAUCUUGACGGUACCUAAUCAGAAAGCCACGGCUAACUACGUG